rnacentral:rRNA from 1 species
AGAGUUUGAUCCUGGCUCAGAGCGAACGCUGGCGGCAGGCUUAACACAUGCAAGUCGAGCGGGCGUAGCAAUACGUCAGCGGCAGACGGGUGAGUAACGCGUGGGAACGUACCUUUUGGUUCGGAACGACACAGGGAAACUUGUGCUAAUACCGGAUAAGCCCUUACGGGGAAAGAUUUAUCGCCGAAAGAUCGGCCCGCGUCUGAAUUAGCUAGUUGGUGAGGUAACGGCUCACCAAGGCGACGAUCAGUAGCUGGUCUGAGAGGAUGAUCAGCCACAUUGGGACUGAGACACGGCCCAAACUCCUACGGGAGGCAGCAGUGGGGAAUAUUGGACAAUGGGCGCAAGCCUGAUCCAGCCAUGCCGCGUGAGUGAUGAAGGCCCUAGGGUUGUAAAGCUCUUUUGUGCGGGAAGAUAAUGACGGUACCGCAAGAAUAA